AAAGCAAAGAACAAAGAGAAAAGAAUAGAAACAAACCCUAGAGAGGAAAAUUCAAGAGAAAUUCAUUGGAUUUUCGAAAAAUGAAGCAAUCGGAGGUGGUGAGCCCUUUGAUAAAGGUAAAGAUAUCGUAUCCGAGGACCAAGAAUAGGAGUACUCCAAACUCUCGUUAUAGCUCAGGACAGUCUGUAGACAGCCGAUUUUGUCGAGGGUUGCUUUUAGAUUUGCAUCUUUAGAAAUCGAAGCUCUACAGUCUUGUAUAUUUUCGAUUAUUUUGGGGCCUACAUGUCAUUGUAGAAUAUUUUUGUAUACCUGGUUUAGUGUGAUAUUAUAUAUAUGA